rnacentral:rRNA from 1 species
AGUGAACGCUGGCGGUAGGCCUAACACAUGCCAGUCGAACGGCAGCACAGUAAGAGCUUGCUCUUACGGGUGGCGAGUGGCGGACGGGUGAGGAAUACAUCGGAAUCUACUUUUUCGUGGGGGAUAACGUAGGGAAACUUACGCUAAUACCGCAUACGACCUACGGGUGAAAGCAGGGGAUCUUCGGACCUUGCGCGAUUGAAUGAGCCGAUGUCGGAUUAGCUAGUUGGCGGGGUAAAGGCCAACCAAGGCGACGAUACAGAGCUGGUCUGAGAGGAUGAGCGGCCAGAUUGGGACUGAGACAGGGCACAAACUCAUACGGGAAGCAGCAGUAGGGAAUCUGGGGCAAUGGACGAAAGUCUGACCGAGAAACGCCGCGUGAGUGAAGAAGGUGUUCGGAUCGUAAAACUCUGUUGGUAGAGAAGAACGUUGGUGAGAGUGGAAAGCUCAGCGAGUGACGGUAACGACCCAGAAAGGGACGGCUAACUACGUG